UCGGCUUAGAGUUUGAUCAUGGCUCAGAUUGAACGCUGGCGGCAGGCCUAACACAUGCAAGUCGAACGGUAGAGUAGCUUGCUACUUACGAGUGGCGGACGGGUGAGUAAUGUCUGGGGAUCUGCCUGAUGGAGGGGGAUAACUACUGGAAACGGUAGCUAAUACCGCAUAAUGUCGCAAGACCAAAGCGGUUCGUCGUACCAUCAGAUGAACCCAGAUGGGAUUAGCUAGUAGGUAAGGUAAUGGCUUACCUAGGCGACGAUCCCUAGCUGGUCUGAGAGGAUGACCAGCCACACUGGAACUGAGACACGGUCCAGACUCCUACGGGAGGCAGCAGUGGGGAAUAUUGCACAAUGGGCGCAAGCCUGAUGCAGCCAUGCCGCGUGUAUGAAGAAGGCCUUCGGGUUGUAAAGUACUUUCAGUCAGGAGGAAGGGUGUGAAUAAUUUCAUGCAUUGACGUUACUGACAGAAGAAGCACCGGCUAACUCCGUGCCAGCAGCCGCGGUAAUACGGAGGGUGCAAGCGUUAAUCGGAAUUACUGGGCGUAAAGCGCACGCAGGCGGUUUGUUAAGUCAGAUGUGAAAUCCCCGGGCUCAACCUGGGAACUGCAUUUGAAACUGGCAAGCUUGAGUCUUGUAGAGGGGGGUAGAAUUCCAGUGUAGCGUGAAAUGCGUAGAGAUC
rnacentral:rRNA from 1 species